UGAGUUAAGUGAUGGUUUAUUUUUGCUUCUCCCCUCUCUGCUUCCUCAAAAUCGGUGCCUAGCAUUUUCCGUCUUCAAAAAUCUUAUCUCAAUUUAAGGCUUUAAGCGUCUAUGAUCUAUCAUCACCACUGCCACCGCCACUGCCCUACCUUUUCCGUCUUCAAAACGAGGUGUCGAACUUGAAGAGAGAUUUGUGAAGAUGUCUCAGCAAGAAAACAGUAGCAGGGAUAAGAGAUGGUCUCUCCAAGGAAUGACAGCUCUUGUCACUGGUGGAACCAAAGGACUCGGGUAUGCUAUUGUGGGUGAGUUGGCAGCACUAGGGGCAAUCGUGCAUACAUGCGGGAGGAGUCAAGACCAGCUGAGUGAAAACAUCCGUGAAUGGAAGGCGAAGGGUUUUAAAGUUACUGGUUCAGUUUGUGAUUUGUCCUCUAAUGCUGAAAGAGAGAAGCUGAUGGAGGAGGUUUCUUCUUUUUUUGAUGGAAAACUUGACAUCCUUAUAAACAAUGCUGGGGGGAACAUACAUAAAGGAACCUUAGACUACACAACUGAGGAUUUCGUAUCCAUCAUGAAUAUAAACCUUGGAUCUGCUUUCCAUCUGUCCCAACUUGCACAUCCACUUUUGAAAGCUUCAGGAGCUGGAAGGAUCGUCUUUAUGUCAUCCAUUGCCAGUGUGGUUUCUAUAAACCCUCAAUAUCCUAUAUAUUCAGCUACUAAAGGUGCAAUGAACCAACUUACAAGGAAUUUGGCUUGCGAAUGGGCUAAGGACAACAUAAGGGUUAACGCAGUGGCACCAUGGUCCGUCCGAACUCCUCUCACUGAACAAUUUCUCGACGACGAAAAAAUUCGGAAGGACGUUGUCAAUCGAACCCCUAUGAAACGAUUUGGAGAACCAGGGGAUGUGUCUUCUGUUGUCGCAUUUCUAUGCUUCCCUGCACCAGGCUUCUUAACCGGACAAGUUAUUUGCGUUGAUGGGGGGAUGUCAGUGAAUGGCUUCUCCAUGGACUGAAAACUAAUUAGCUUCAAGGCCUGUUGGUUCAUCUACUAGCUAGCAGGAAAUGUACGAGAGAAUCAUAUUGCUGGUUGUUGAAGUAUUAUAGCCAAAUAAUAGUCAAAGACUAUCAAUAGCCAAAAAGUAUGGACGACUGGAACAAUGGGAGAGCUCACCCCGGCUGUGAAGAUUGAUGGACGUGAAGUUGGCGAUGGACAAGUGGGACCUGUGACUCGAAGGUUGCAAAAUGCUUACAAAAAGCUUACAGAAGAGUCAGGAGUGCCCAUACCAUCCAAUCAGGAGAAUUAAAUAA